rnacentral:rRNA from 1 species
AUUGAACGCUGGCGGCAGGCUUAACACAUGCAAGUCGAGCGGAGAUGAGGUGCUUGCACCUUAUCUUAGCGGCGGACGGGUGAGUAAUGCUUAGGAAUCUGCCUAUUAGUGGGGGACAACAUUCCGAAAGGAAUGCUAAUACCGCAUACGUCCUACGAGAGAAAGCAGGGGAUCUUCGGACCUUGCGCUAAUAGAUGAGCCUAAGUCGGAUUAGCUAGUUGGCGGGGUAAAGGCCUACCAAGGCGACGAUCUGUAGCGGGUCUGAGAGGAUGAUCCGCCACACUGGGACUGAGACACGGCCCAGACUCCUACGGGAGGCAGCAGUGGGGAAUAUUGGACAAUGGGGGGAACCCUGAUCCAGCCAUGCCGCGUGUGUGAAGAAGGCCUUAUGGUUGUAAAGCACUUUAAGCGAGGAGGAGGCUACUGAGACUAAUACUCUUGGAUAGUGGACGCUACUCGCAGAAUAAGCACCGGCUAACUCUGUGCCAGCCGCCGCGGUAACAC